GUACUUACCAGGCAGGGAAGAUCCCUUUGUCAUGGCUGUCCCACAGCAAGGCUUAUUUACUGUACUUCGAAUGUAGAGACCCUUGCAGUUUCCCUCAGUGUGAGAAACUCAAUUUGUGUUCCGUGGUAGUGUGAGACUGCAUUUGUGUGCUCCUGUU
rnacentral:snRNA from 1 species